GCCAUUUAAUGUGAUAUCCAGUGAUCCGACAGAGAUGUUAGAAUUCACAUAAAUGCAGUUUUUUUAUUGAUAAACAGCAGCAACCUCUGCACAAGAAUGAUUAUUCUGCAGCAAUAACCCUUGCUUUCCGUGGUUGUUUUUUUAUUUGCACAGGUCAUCAACUGUUUGACUUGCUGUCAUUUUAGGAAUGGAUCAUUUCCGUGCUGUUGUUUCUUCCUCUGCAGGAGUCAACACCUUCAAAGGGGUAAUGGAGAAAAUUGCCUGGAAUAUAAGCAAGAAGGUACCGCUCCAAGGUUUGCCCCUUGUAGUUUGCUGUUCUCCAAUGAUUGAAGAGGAUGCUGCAUGUCCUGCUGAACGUGUCUAGCAUUUUAAAAAAAUGUACAAUAGAAGGUGAUAAAUAACUUGGAAAAGACGGCAGUGGCAGAGUGUUAUUUGUUCAAUGAGAUAUCACUCCAUUGUGUUUCUGGCAUACAAGUGAUUCAGGUCACCUCCAGACACUCCCACUAAAGAAGAGGAAAAGUUGCAAGGGGACAUUCUUAGCCCCUCUCAUUAUUCUUUCCAUAACAACUGAAUGAGCAGCAAGCAGCCAUCUUUAUUCUUAUUGCAGUGGAUGAGAAACAUGUGGCAGAGGUUUGGAUAUGAAAGAAAUAAUUUUCAGCUUCAUGAUCCAUGAGAGGAAACUGUCUUGUCUCUCAUAUAUCCAGUUUGGUUCAAUAUACCUCUCUAAAAAUCUAUGAAUCUCACAUUUGCAAUUGGCCAUAUCAUAAAAGCUUUAAGGGAGGAAGGUUCCACGUUUCCACUAGACUUUGUGUGAAGAAGUACUCCUUCACCCCAAGUCAACUAGCCCUAUAUUGUAUUACGUCCCACCGAGAGAAAUAAUUUCUCUCUAUUUAACAUAUCCUUCAAUCAUCCUGAAUUGUUUUCAUUAUGACAUAAAUGUUGCUGUUUGGAACUUGACACAUGGAUGCUACCUUUCCCUCAGCACUAAUUUGAUUUUUUGUGUAAACAAGAGGUUAAAUUUGGAGGACAAACCUGUAACUGUGCAGGUCUAAAAUUGCCUCCCAGUGGAAGUGGCGGAAUAUCAAAUCACUACUCAUGAUCCAACCACGCAUCCAUUUACGAUAGAGCUUCACAUUCAGAGAACAAAAUAAAUUAACAUGUCAAACAAUAAAAGAGAAAGCACUUGCAUUUAUAUUAUGGCUUAUCAGGUCCAUGAGCCUUUUGUAAUAAACAAAUUAAUUUUGAAGUGCGAUCAUUGCUAUGCAGGUACAAUGAUAAAACUCAUGAUUCAAGCUGUACAAAUAGGUUUGCAAUACAUGCAUGUAUGUACACAUAUAUUACUCUUGAUUAUGAAAUGAAAACUAACACUUCCCUCACGUGCACACUUUUCAUAAUGUUGCA